rnacentral:rRNA from 1 species
GGGUAGCCGGCCUGAGAGGGCGACCGGCCACACUGGGACUGAGACACGGCCCAGACUCCUACGGGAGGCAGCAGUGGGGAAUAUUGCACAAUGGGCGCAAGCCUGAUGCAGCGACGCCGCGUGGGGGAUGACGGCCUUCGGGUUGUAAACCUCUUUCAGCAUCGACGAAGCGUGAGUGACGGUAGAUGCAGAAGAAGCACCGGCCAACUACGUGCCAGCAGCCGCGGUAAUACGUAGGGUGCGAGCGUUGUCCGGAAUUACUGGGCGUAAAGAGCUCGUAGGUGGUUUGUCGCGUUGUCUGUGAAAUCCUACCGCUUAACUGUGGGCG